AACUCAUUUAAACCUUUAAAGAUCUGAUAAUCUUAAUGCUACAUAAACUAUUCCUGAUCAUAUAAAAAAGAAGGAAAAUUUUCAAUUCUUUUUCAGAAGCAAGUAUAAUAUUGAUCCCAAAGGAAAACAAAGAUUUCACCAAUAAAUAAAGCUACUGACAUGUUUCAUUUGUGAAUAUUGAUGCAAAAAUUCUAAAUAUAUUAUUAGACACUAAAAAAUAAUACAUCAUGAUUAAGUGGAUUUAUUUCAGAAAUAGUAGGGUGGUUCAAUAUAGGAAAAUUGAUUGUUACAACACACCCCAUUAAUAGAUUAAGAAGAAAAUUUCCUAGAUGCAGAAAAGACAUUUGACCAAAUUCAACACUAAUUCAUGUUUAAAGAAUUUCAUAAAAUUGGAAUUAAUAGAUAU